AGCAUUUUCACCAAUUCAGGCAAAAAAAUAAAAAUAAAAAAAUUGCAACACAACUGUAUAGCUUUUACUUUAGAGAUUCGGAGCUCAACCAACAUGAAGCCCAUCCCAUGCCUGCCACAUCAGCUAAAACAGGUUAUCGCUGCCAUUUCAGAGAAUCUGAGUGCAUCCAACACAGAGCCCCCCCAUGCCUGCCACACCAACUAAAACAGGAUGACUCUUUGAGUUAAGAAUUUGGCUGUCCGAGCAUGCUGGGAGUUGUAGUGUUUGCAACAGCUUAAGGCGCCCCCGCUCGAGAAACACCGUCCAUAUACUGUGAAUUCCGCGGUCCCCUCAAGAGAGAUGCCAAAAUAUUCCUUUCCGCGCUCCCAACAGCUGAACUAUAUAUCCGCCGCUGAAAAACAUCCAAUCCUUAAAUACUUAAUGAAGCUACUAUAAAAAAAUAAAUAAAUAAAUAAAUAAAAAUCUCACAUUGAGAAAUCCGAGCCGCCGUCGCCGCCGCUCCCUCUUUAAUUUGGCAAAUCAUAUAUGCAAGGAUUAACCCUUUCCGGGCACGAGGCGACAGAUCCGUGCCAGGUAUGUCGAACGCCGGG